GACGAACGCUGGCGGCGUGCUUAACACAUGCGAGUCGAACGGAAAGGCCCUGCUUUUGUGGGGUGCUCGAGUGGCGAACGGGUGAGUAACACGUGAGUAACCUGCCCUUGACUUUGGGAUAACAUCAGGAAACUGGGGCUAAUACCGGAUAGGAGCUCCUGCUGCAUGGUGGGGGUUGGAAAGUUUCGGCGGUUGGGGAUGGACUCGCGGCUUAUCAGCUUGUUGGUGGGGUAGUGGCUUACCAAGGCUUUGACGGGUAGCCGGCCUGAGAGGGUGACCGGCCACAUUGGGACUGAGAUACGGCCCAGACUCCUACGGGAGGCAGCAGUGGGGAAUAUUGCACAAUGGGCGGAAGCCUGAUGCAGCAACGCCGCGUGCGGGAUGACGGCCUUCGGGUUGUAAACCGCUUUCGCCUGUGACGAAGCGUGAGUGACGGUAAUGGGUAAAGAAGCACCGGCUAACUACGUG
rnacentral:rRNA from 1 species